rnacentral:lncRNA from 1 species
UGGGAGGAAGUAUGUGUGGCUAAGGGAAUAUAUUGUAUCAUGAGGUCAUGGAAAUUGCAUCACAACCUAUCACUUAUUUUGGAAGUUCAUGGUAAUAGUAAACACAUUGAGGAAGUUGUUAUUGUAUCCAAGAGAUGGUAAAUAAAUUUAGAUACAACUUCAUUUUAUUGAUCGAAAUGUUUCAGCCAAGGAGAUGUUGGGAAUCUAUGCGGCUUUCAACAUUAUUCUAUAUUGUGUUUAUUGUUCAACUCAAUGUGGAAUUAUUCGGAUACAUGUGAUAGGAAAGUAUUGAUGUGGAAUCUAACUCGAGGAAUUUGUACUCGAGGUGCCGAUGAUGUUUGUGCUAGAAUACAGUAGAGGAAUAAGUUGAGAUCGACUCUACUGGAAUGUUUAUUAUGUACGUACAUGUUUGACCUGGGUACAGCACGGCGAAAGAGCUGGGUUUGUUUUGCAGGAUCGGCUCUGCAGGCUAUUAACCCACAUGAUCAUAUUGGAAUUGAUCUCAUAUAUACAACUGAUCGUGCCACAUGGCUCA